AAUUAUGAGUGCCUUGCUGGAUUUCUCACAUUUUAUUUUAUUUAUCAUAGUUUCUCGCUUUUUAUUUAUUUCAUUCUUAGUCAAAAGACCGACUGGUAUAGUGGUUUAGAGCAAUUUGACAUAUCGGAGAGAUCACACAAAUUUACAGUGACUAGUUCUAUACUUUUGUGCCUGUGUCAAAAAUUAAAAUGACAAGUACCAAAGUGAAACAUGAACCGAACCACAUGGACCAAAAAUGUGAUUCGGCAUAUAAUUUGUUUGUACUUCCCAAAAAUGGGAAAGAUAUUUGAGAUGUACAAGAGCCAACCACCUGGAAAAUGUUAACAAAAAAGUUUGCUAGUUUGCAUAUGAGAGAGUUUACAUCUCCAUUGACGGUCCUCCGCUUCUGAUAAAGGGAAAGAGACACAGAAGUUUACAUGUGAACCACCACUACAUUAGAAAGUUAUUUAAAAUGAAGCUAAUAUUAGAUAACGGGGUCUAGUCUAGUGCAAAAUAGCAUUGAUUUGUAAAUUAGUAGUCUCAGUUUCUAACCCCCAUAACACAUUGAUAGUAUAUGGGUGAGAAAACCACCAUCCUGCAGUAUCGCUUGCAUCACCAAAAAAAAAAAAAAAAACUAAUAUUAAAUAUGUAUGCUUAUUUUCACAAAUAGUCCCUGAAGUUCACGAAAUUAUCAUAUUUGAUCAUUUAUGUUUUUUUUUGUGACAUAAUUGGUUAAGGUUACUCUUGGUACAUCAAGUUGGUCCUUGUCGUGAGGUUCUGUCAAAAUUAAGGACCAACUUGAUGUACCAAGAGUAACCUUAAAGACCAACUAUGGCACAAAAAAAACCUAAAAAACCAAUGUGACAAUUUCGUGAACCUCAAGAACCAUUUGUAAAAAUAAGCCAAAUAUAUAUUAAACCCACACAAAAAAUAUCAAAUCCAAAUUUUACAUUCUCAUAUUAUAGCAAAAAAUUACAUUUACAUCUUCCGAAAAUAUAAAGUGGGAUGCAAAAGUAGUUUUACGUCUCCAAAUUUACAUUUUUUUAACACCUAAAGAUCACCUCCAAGUCUUCCAUUCCCUUUUUAUGGUACCAAAAUUUCUUGGUUCGAAGCUUCUAUACAUCCUUUUCCAUUUCUUUCUCACCUCACUUCCCUUUCUCCUAUAUUUUCCCUUCAACCUUUCGUUUUCUUCCCGAGUAUUCUUUGAACUUAGGCGAGAGGUCACAACACAACAUUAAUUGAACAUGAUCACCUAUAUAGCAAAAGUAGAAUAAGCCACAAUUCUUCUUCGUAUUCACACAUCCCUUUCAUUAUCUUUCUUUCCUUUCAGUUCACCUUUUUUUCCAUCCACGGAAAUAAUCAGACUUCUACGCCAACCAAAUGUGUUAAAUGUUAUUUUCGUGAAACUUCUUUCCUUUCUCACUAGGGACAAAAUUUAAAUGACUUGCCACCACCCUACGCGUUUCUUCUUGGUUUACAUUGGAGUUGUAUGGGUUCCAACUAGGGUGCCGUAGGGGGUAGAAAAACUUGUAUUAAAUAGAGAUAGUACUGUUUUGCUAUCCUCAAUAAUUAUAUACUGUCAUAAAAAAAAGUUAUCACAAAUAGUGAGUUUGUAACUCAAAUAGUUAACAUACCGUAAUUAAAUAGAGAAACACUUACCGUAAUUAAUACCCCCGUUUUAUGUAAGUGUUUCUCUAUGGUGGGAACUAUUGGCACUCCCUACGUAUAUUUCAUUUGACUAAAACACGAUGAAUAGUGAGUUUGUAACUCAAAUAGUUAAAAACAGUUGCCCUUACACUUAAGGUACUAUGCAUGAACCUCCUCUCGCUCAAUAUUACUGGUGUCGAAUGCUUAUGUAUAGUUUUAUAAAUUGGCCCUUAGUGAAAAAUCAUAAUAAUAAAUUGAAUCGUAUUUGAGACUCAUGUAAGGUUCAUUUAUUUGAGAUCGAGAAAGAAAAUGUUGGGUUUUAUAACAUCGUCUUCCAACAACUAAGCACUUAUGUUCAUAAAAGCUUUUUUCAAAAGCGCUUUUAUUAAAACCGCGAAAAACACCUUUAUAACCUAGAAAAACUUUUAAAUGUAAGUUUUAUAACCUAAUAAAAAAGUUUUUGAUUGUCAGAAAACCAUUCUGAAAGCAGUACCAAUGUGUGUCUUCAAUGACUAGAAAGAUUAAAUAUCAACUCUCAUUGAUUGCAUUCAAGAAACUACUAAAAAUACUCAAAGCACAGCACUUACAAAUGUAUCCACUACAUUAAAUACAAGCCCAAUUUGGCAAGAAGCACAGCUCAUAGCUAGCGAGAUGGAUCUAAUCUAUUAGCCAAGCAAUAAUCUUUAGACAGAAUAAUGAACGACUCCGUUUCCGGCUGUCUCGGCGGGUGAGAAUGCAAGAAACAUGAGAGCGGCCAUUAUGCCAACGGGAAAGAACAAGAGCAUCAACGGCGGAGGAGGCAGCGGAGGCAGCAACAACGGCAGAACCACCAUGAACAACGCUAGACCCGCCAACACCAGAACAGAACCCAAGCUCAUACACUGCACCAUGACCACCUACGACCUCCGACGAACAUUUCUCUCCCUCCCCAAACGACAAUGCCAGGUCAGCAAACGACAACAGCGAGCACCAGCAAGAAUGGCAACGAAUUUAUGAAAAGGCUUUGACAGUGGAUUAACGGCUUGUAUUGGUUGGUAUAUAUAUAGGGAUGGCGGAUGUGUUGGAGUUGUGAUCUGGUGGGUGAGGGUGUAUGGAGAUGUGAUGUGGCCGGUGAGAUCAGGACCGUUGGCUUGGAGAUUUUAAAAUGGUGUGUGGGGACCAGGGAGUGGAUUUUUGUUCGGUUUUUAUUGGGAGAAAAUCCAGUUUGGGGUGAUGGUCCGAAUCGGCCAGAAUCGGAGCGCCAGAUCCCGAGAUAUUCGGCUGAUACGUUUCAGCAACUUCUACUGUAAAUUUGAUUUAGUUCAUUUUUAAAUCUUGGGUUAGGUGCGGUCUUUAUUUAUUUUUUUCAAAAGUAAAUUAUUCUACAUGUCCUCUUGGUAUUACGAAUAUAUUAAAAUUAUAACUCGUAGAGAAUUAUUAAUAUUAUCAUAAAUCCAACAUGAUACAUCAACAAUUACAUAUGUUAUUUCCCAAAAAAAAAAAAAAAGGGUUAUACAUACUACUUGCCUCCUU
rnacentral:lncRNA from 1 species